UACAGAGGUCUCAACUGUUGUUCGGAUUCACUGGGCGUAAAGGGCGCGUAGGCGGCGCGAGCAGUCGGCGGUGAAAGCCCGGAGCUCAACUCCGGGUCGGCCGUCGAUACUCUCGUGCUUGAGCACUGUAGAGGCAGGUGGAAUUCCGGGUGUAGCGGUGGAAUGCGUAGAGAUCCGGAAGAACACCGGUGGCGAAGGCGGCCUGCUGGGCAGUAGCUGACGCUGAUGCGCGACAGCGUGGGGAGCAAACAGG
rnacentral:rRNA from 1 species